rnacentral:misc_RNA from 1 species
GACGAAGAACGUAGCGAAAUGCGAUAAGUAGUGUGAAUUGCAGAAUUCAGUGAAUCAUCGAAUCUUUGAACGCACAUUGCGCCCCUUGGUAUCCCGAGGGGCAUGCCUGUUCGAGCGUCAUUUCACCACUCAAGCCUGGCUUGGUGUUGGGCGACGUCCCCUUUGGGGACGCGCCUCGAAACGCUCGGCGGCGUGGCACCGGCUUUAAGCGUAGCAGAAUCUUUCGCUUUGGAAGUCGGGGCCCCGUCUGCCGGAAGACCUACUCGCAAGGUUGACCUCGGAUCAGGCAGGGAUACCCGCUGAACUUAAGCAUAUCAAUAAGCGGAGGA